UACGUAGGGUGCAAGCGUUGUCCGGAAUUAUUGGGCGUAAAGAGCUCGUAGGCGGUUUGUCGCGUCUGCUGUGAAAACUCGGGGCUUAACUCCGGGCCUGCAGUGGGUACGGGCAGACUAGAGUGCGGUAGGGGAGACUGGAAUUCCUGGUGUAGCGGUGAGAUGCGCAGAUAUCAGGAGGAACACCGGUGGCGAAGGCGGGUCUCUGGGCCGUAACUGACGCUGAGGAGCGAAAGCGUGGGGAGCGAACAGG
rnacentral:rRNA from 1 species